CCAUUCGGGACCUGCCUCGUACCCAGGCGUCUCUUUGUAAAAAAACAGUGAUGCGCAUAUGACGAGUUUACAUGAAGUAUUGUAGUGGGGAGAGAUGGCGAAGGGGCUGAUGGGAAGAGUGCACUUGAACUGCGAGACGCCUGGCAGUUCUUGGUCGAUUUCUUGCAAAUUUGUACGAUUUCUUGCAAGUUGUGAUAUUUCGUUGUCGUUUACGAUUUUUUGCUACUUGUUUUUGUUGAAUUGACUAAUGUUAAUAUUCUUCUGUCAUCUGGGCGUGAAUUCAUGCUGUUAUUCUUGGUAUAUAUGACAUAUGCCUUAUUUAAAGUCCAUGGAAAUUCCAAUAUUAACAUGUCAACAACCGAAGCGUUGAAGAACUAGACUUGCAGGAACUAGAUUUGUAAGCUAUAACUAUAUAAAGGUACAGACUAUAAAAUUGCACUGUUGUAAUAAAUAUUUCAAACUUUACGGCUGUGAACUUUUAUUUACUUGGGCUUUUGUUUACAGUAUACAUUUAAUAGAAAUUGCCAUUGGCAUUGUGAUCGACUGAUUGAGCUUUCAGCUAAAGAAGUUAUUAAUACAAAAGCAAUUAUAUGACUUUCUAAUCAUUUCUCUGUUACUGUUUUAUGCUAAGCAACUGAUAGCAUUCUAUUAUUCUCCAUGUAAUACCGAAUGACAUAUUCGAAAUAUUCGCACGGUUAACUUGCCAUGUUAUUUACUCAUAAUUUUUCGCGCAUUUUGCAUGUCAUCGAACAUCUACAAAUGUAUUAUUAUUUGCCAAUGGCGUUCAAUUCAACUCUUCAUCACAAAGUAAGGUUUUACACACAGAGUAUAUGACGAUAUGGUAACUUUUUGUAUUAAAUUCCAUGUUUUCCCGCCAUGACAGUAUACAAGAACUGCCAGGCGCUCCCCAGCACGCACCCUUCCCAACAGCCCCUUCGCGCGUCGGCUGCCUACCUGAAUACUUCAUGUAAGCGCCUGGGUACGAGGCAGAUU